GCAGACACAUUCCAGCCAAUCAGCAGCAGACCCUCCCUCCCAGACCCUCCCACCUCCUGGACAGCUCACUAAGAAUGCAGCUUCACAAUGAAUGUAAAAUGGAUGCUGUCCAGGAGGUGGGAGGGUCUGGGAGGGAGGGUCUGCUGCUGAUUGGCUGGAAUGUGUCUG